ensembl:lncRNA
AUGGCAGAAUCACGGGGCGGUGGAAGGACGCUUCCACGGGAGGUAACUGAGACGUUUGUUGUCCCAAAAGAAAAGCGGAUAUCUCAAACCGAAGCCCGUUACACCCAAAGGAAACUCAAUGAAGCAAAGAAAACGAUAUUACAACUUAGAAUCAAGUCGGAGGAACAAAGUAAAUUGAUCGUUAUGAGCCAGAGGAAGAUGGAUUAUCUGCAUUCGGAAAUAUCUUCACUCAGAGAGAAUGAAGACGUUUCAAAAGAACAUCUAAAAGAAGCAGAGAGGAAACUUGCAGAUAAAUCGAAUAUGAAUGAUGAUCUUCAUCGACAGAACGCUAAAAUUGAAGAGCUCUCUAGAAUUAACGCUGCCCAUAAGCAGAGUGAAGAGGAAGCUCACCAAAGAAAUCAUGAGAAUUUGGCCCAACUUAAAGACUUGAAUGAGAAACUAGACAGAACGACCAAAUAUCAUUCAGAUUUUGUUCUGCAAUCCGAGAAAAGAGAGGACGCUUUGAUCAAUGACAAUAAGGUUCUUGGUGAUAAACUGGCCUGCGUGACAUCUGAGAAAGAUCGAAAUCAGGCAAAGAUUUCUAAUCUGGAAGCAGUUGUUGAAGCGCUAGUUGAGGAAAACCGAACUAUGAAGAACCAGAGCCUGAUCGCUGAGAGGGAACACACCAAAGUCACUGAGCAUCUUUCUACAACAAACAAUGAAGCAACGGGUACGAUAUCACAACUUAAAAUCAAGUUGGAGGAACAAAGUAAAUUGUUUGUUGUGAGCCAGAGGAAAAUCGAUCGUCUGCAAUCAGAAAUAUCUUCACUCAGGGAGAAUGAAGACAUUUCAAAAGAACAUCUAAAAGAAGCAGAGAGGAAACUUGCAGAGAAAUCGAAAAUGAAUGAUGACCUUCAUCGACAGAACGCUAAAAUUGAAACAGACUUUGAAGAGCUCUCAAGAAUUAGCGCUGCCCAUAAGCAGAGUGAAGAGGAAGCUCACCAAAGAAAUGACGAGAAUUUGACCCAACUUAAAGACUUGAAUGAGAAACUAGACAGAACAAUCAAAUAUCAUUCGGCUUUUGCUCUGCAAUCUGAGAAAAGAGAGGACGCUUUGAUCAAUGACAAUAAGGUUCUUGGUGAUAAACUGGCCUGCGUGACAUCUGAGAAAGAUCGAAAUCAGGCAAAGAUUUCUAAUCUGGAGGCAAAUGUUAACGCGCUGGUUGAGGAAAACCGAACUAUGAAGAACCAGAGCCUGAUCGCUGAGAGGGAACACACCAAAGUCACUGAGCAUCUUGAUGACCUUCAGAGUCAAGUUGAAACAUGUUACAGAACAAUCUCGGAGAAAAAUGAGCAAAUGCAACUACUUAAACAGACCAAUGACCAAUAUCUGUCAGAGAUCCAACAAUUCAGAACGGAGGAGACACCCAUGGAUGAGACGGAGGAGACACCGGUUCAGGCCAGAAGUUGGUCUGGCCUUGCUAAAGGUCUGGUGAACGUAGGAUGUUAUGCUGCCAUCAGCAUCGCCACGGCAGUGCUUACUAACAGCUGGAGUUCAGACUUGAAUUGCAGCCAGUCAAACCGUUUCAAUGAUUUCCAAUACACCGCACCUCGUCCCUUCUAA